rnacentral:rRNA from 1 species
UACAGAGGUCUCAAGCGUUGUUCGGAUUCAUUGGGCGUAAAGGGUGUGUAGGUGGCGCGCUAAGUCGGGUGUGAAAUUUCGGAGCUUAACUCCGAAACUGCAUUCGAUACUGGCGUGCUUGAGGACUGGAGAGGAGACUGGAAUUCAUGGUGUAGCAGUGAAAUGCGUAGAGAUCAUGAGGAAGACCAGUGGCGAAGGCGGGUCUCUGGACAGUUCCUGACGCUGAGGCACGAAGGCUAGGGGAGCAGACGGG